rnacentral:lncRNA from 1 species
AAAUCUAUAAAAGACAUAUAAGAUCACCCCAAUAGUCCCCGGCCUGACAUUUGUAAUUUAUAAUAUCACAGAAGAGAGAUGCGAUGAUCUGACAUUGAUCGACCCGGCUCGACUACUACAUAUUUGAGGCAAUUAGCAUAGACUUGGCUGCUCAACCAUCAGCACUGAUUCACUACUGAUUCGUCUAUUUAAUUCAUCCUGCCUUCUAAUUUUGUCUGUUUUCCCCUUCAUUUUGAGGAAAACAGACCCAAUCGGCCUACACAUUUUGCAGGCCGACGCAAAUCACUGAUGUGUGCUUGCAUUUGCCUUAGCAAACACCUACGUACAGGCUCUAGACUCCAGGGUACUAGCAGCCUGGCAGGUGGUGCUAAAGCAAGGAGUUAAGACUGAGUUCACCGUUCUCACGACGCAGCGCCGUAUUCAGUGAUAAUUCGACAGUGCUCGGUGAGACGACUAAUGAAAAAAAAAGGGGGCGGCAAAAAAACUAAUAAUAGUUACUUUUGUACUUUACUAAACAGUCGAUAAUUAGGGCAUCGGUGCUCACACCCCUUCCCUCAAGUCGUGUGACACGAUAAACCAUAACAGUAGACAAUCCUGUCCGCCAUGUCAUAUCGAGGGAUGUGGUGCAUCGUUAAUGCUGUGCGACCUUGAUCUUACGAUUUUCACGUAUACGAGUAACCUAUAGGUAUCGUAUAUCGGUGUAUGCUGUGUCGUCGAAACGGGGCUCCUUUGCAUAAGUGCUAACCUUAGAAUGCGCCUGGAUUCGUGGUACGUACCCUGUAUGCUUCUGUAUUCUUAGGCUGUUCUGGCGAUUAACUACGCCGGUAUGGGGUGUUUAAUCGUCGAUCAUCAGUGCGGAAGAGUAAGGUACUCGGAGAGGAGAGCACCGAGUUAGGGCUCAGGACAAAGCACUCGAUGAUUGCAAUUACCACCAUGUCGGUAUUUGGGAAAUACGCACCAGCAAAUUAAUGAAUGCACGAUGCAUUCUUUGUCCAGCAGAUAAUUUAGAAAAUUUACUUGUGGAUUACUAAUACAGCACAAAACUAGCUACAGUGCAGUAUUCCUGAAUGUACUCUGGAUCAAUUUCGUUUUCUUUCUUUUCCGCUUUGUAUUCAUAGCUCUUUGUUUGUUUGACAUUUGCCUCUGUCGAUGGCAGAUAAGUUCAACCAUCGAGCUGAGGAAUGUCUGGCGAGCAUAUCCUACUAGGUCUCGGAAUAUUCCAAAAGAUGCCGUGCAGAAUUCUCUGAGUUACGGUUUCAUCUCGUUGACUAAGUACUUGUCCUUAACAAUUCAACGACUAGGUACCUGGGCAGAAUGCGGAAACAAGUCAAGUUCUCUCAUAUUCAUGUAAAAUAACAUCUGGGUCGCUGCUUAGUUUAACCCACUUCAUAAUUGUAGUUUUAUACCCAGUACU